AGUAGUUUGACUCCGUGGCUCAGGACGAACGCUGGCGGCGUGCUUCAUACAUGCAAGUCGAACGAUAAGGUUCCUUCGGGAAUACAUAAGUGGCGGACGGGUGAGUAAUAUGUAGAGAAUCUACCUUCAAGAGGGGGACAACAGAGGGAAACUCCUGCUAAUACCCCAUAUGCGCGUAGCUGAGAUGCUAUUCGUGAAAACUCCGGUGCUUGAAGAUGAGUCUGCAUCUGAUUAGCUAGUUGGGGGUGUAAUGGACCACCAAGGCGACGAUCAGUAGCUGGUUUGAGAGGAUGAUCAGCCACAAUGGGACUGAGACACGGCCCAUACUCC
rnacentral:rRNA from 1 species